rnacentral:tRNA from 1 species
CAGAGAGUAGUUUAAGUUAAAAUUUUAGUUUUGGAGAUUAAAAAUAGAGGAGUGUUCUUUCUCUCUGA